AUUAAGUAUAUAUUGUGCCUGGUUAGCCGCUGUGAUUCAAAGUUUAUUGAUUAUAGCAUCCCGUAAACAUUAUACUGUUGAUGUCGUCGUGGCUUGGUAUACAGUUAAUUUGAUGAUAUUCUUUUUAGACCAUACAUUGCCAGAACUGUCUGAUCGAACCGGAGCUGCAGCAUUCUUACUGCCGGUUAACAAAGAUAACAAGGAUAAAGAAGAGAAUCACAAGCUUCUUAAUGGAAGCUCUGGAGAAUCUUUGGAUAGGAGAUCGAGAAAUCCAGUUAAUAGUAAGAUUGUUGAAAAUGGAAACACGGGUCAUGGCGAUAUGGGGGAUGAAUGACGACAAAUAAGCUAAGGUAAUUAAUUUUCGAUUAGCCAAUUGUCUCGGGUUUUUCAUUAGAUUUAUAGCCUUAUGAGUAGUAGUAUGUAGUAAACUUUUGGAAUUUUGAGUUUCUUUCUAUUAUGGAUUUGCCAAGCUUCUAUUGAUUAUGUUCUUCUAGUUUCAUUUUUUUGGUCAAAUGACAUAAAUUUUGUUG